rnacentral:rRNA from 1 species
UAAUACGAAGGGGGCUAGCGUUGUUCGGAUUUACUGGGCGUAAAGCGCACGUAGGCGGCUUGUUAAGUGAGGGGUGAAAUCCUGGAGCUCAACUCCAGAACUGCCUUUCAUACUGGCAAGCUAGAGUCCGGAAGAGGUGAGUGGAACUCCUAGUGUAGAGGUGGAAUUCGUAGAUAUUAGGAAGAACACCAGUGGCGAAGGCGGCUCACUGGUCCGGUACUGACGCUGAGGUGCGAAAGCGUGGGGAGCAAACAGG